CCUACGGGGAGCAGCAGUGAGGAAUAUUGGUCAAUGGGCGCGAGCCUGAACCAGCCAAGUAGCGUGAAGGAUGACUGCCCUACGGGUUGUAAACUUCUUUUAUAAAGGAAUAAAGUGAGGCACGUGUGCCUUUUGGUAGGUACUUUAUGAAUAAGGAUCGGCGAAAUCCGGGCCAGCAGCCGCGGUAAUACGGAGGAACCGAGCGUUAUCCGGAUUUAUUGGGUUUAAAGGGAGCGUAGAUGGGUGGUUAAGUCAGUUGUGAAGGUUUGCGGCUAAACCGUAAAAUUGCAAUUGAUACUGGCAGCCUUGAGUACAGUUGAGGUAGGCGGAAUUCGUGGUGUAGCGGUGAAAUGCUUAGAUAUCACGAAGAACUCCGAUUGCGAAGGCAGCUUACUAAACUGCCACUGACAUUGAUGCUCGAAAGUGUGGGUAUCAAACAGGAUUAGAUACCCGAGUAGUC
rnacentral:rRNA from 1 species